UUCGCCCUUAGAGUUUGAUCCUGGCUCAGGACGAACGCUGGCGGCGCGCCUAACACAUGCAAGUCGAGCGGGAAUUUUGCGAGAGUAAUCCAGUGAAAAUCCAGCGGCGGACGGGUGAGUAACGCGUGAGUGACCUGCCUUACACAGGGGGAUAACGUACCGAAAGGUACACUAAUACCGCAUGAGACCCCGGCAGCGCAUGCUGCAGAGGUCAAAGGAGCAAUCCGGUGUAAGAUGGACUCGCGUCCGAUUAGAUAGUUGGUGAGGUAACGGCCCACCAAGUCAGCGAUCGGGAGCCAACCUGAGAGGGUGAUCGGCCACAUUGAAACUGAGAGACGGUCCAAACUCCUACGGGAGGCACCAGUGGGGAAUAUUGGGCAAUGGGGGAAACCCUGACCCACCGACGCCGCGUGAGGGAAGAAGCUUUUCGGAUUGUAAACCUCUGUUCUUGGUGAAGAGAAGAAGACGGUAGCCAAGGAGGAAGCCCCGGCUAACUACGUGCCAGCAGCCGCGGUAAUACGUAGGGGGCGAGCGUUGUCCGGAAUGAUUGGGCGUAAAGGGCGCGUAGGCGGCUGAUUAAGUCUGGAGUGGAAGUCCUAUUUUCAAGGUAGGAAUUGCUUUGGAAACUGAUCAGCUUGAGUGCAGGAGAGGUUAUCGGAAUUCCUGGUGUAGCGGUGAAAUGCGUAGAGAUCGGGAGGAACACCAGUGGCGAAGGCGGGUAACUGGACUGCAACUGACGCUGAGGCGCGAAAGUGUGGGGAGCAAACAGGAUUAUAUACCCUGGUAGUCCACGCUGUAAACGAUGAAUACUAGGUGUGGGAGGACUGACCCCUUCCGUGCCGCAGUUAACACAAUAAGUAUUCCACCUGGGGAGUACGACCGCAAGGUUGAAACUCAAAGGAAUUGACGGGGGCCCGCACAAGCAGUGGAUUAUGUGGUUUAAUUCGACGCAACGCGAAGAACCUUACCAGGAUUUGACAUCCCACUAACGAAGCAGAGAUGCAUUAGGUGCCCUUCGGGGAAAGUGGAGACAGGUGGUGCAUGGUUGUCGUCAGCUCGUGUCGUGAGAUGUUGGGUUAAGUCCCGCAACGAGCGCAACCCCUAUUGUUAGUUGCUACGAAAGAGCACUCUAGCGAGACUGCCGUUGACAAAACGGAGGAAGGCGGGGACGACGUCAAAUCAUCAUGCCCCUUAUGUCCUGGGCUACACACGUAAUACAAUGGUGGUAAACAGAGGGAAGCAAGACUGCGAAGUGGAGCAAAUCCCUAAAAGCCAUCUCAGUUCGGAUUGCAGGCUGCAACUCGCCUGCAUGAAGCUGGAAUUGCUAGUAAUCGCGGAUCAGCAUGCCGCGGUGAAUACGUUCCCGGGCCUUGCACACACCGCCCGUCA
rnacentral:rRNA from 1 species